CAGGCAGGCAGGUUGGUUUCGUUUCAGUUGGUCGGAUAGGAGGUGUGUAGUGUGUGUGUCUCGUCGGGUGUGGAGGGAGAAUGGAUAUUUUUGUUUACUUAGACAUUUGGUUAAAUAACUUUUCAAUACCCUUAUAAUACCAUAAAGUGCACUUGUGUCGUUAAUAAAGACAAUUUCACUGCCUAUUUAUUCACCGUAAUACUAAUUGUCAUAGAGAUAAUUCGGAAUCAUCAACUGUGGUAUUUAAUUUUGUUGGAAACGAUCAUAUCUUUGGGCUGUGAAAGCUUUCCAGCAGUUGCUCUACGUGUCGCCCGGAUUUCAAAGAGCAAAUGAAGUCAACGUCAGGCUUGGUUUGAUGUUCAAAAUUACACAAGAAUAUGAAUCAGCACACAAACAUUUACAGUUAGCGUUAGUGGAUAACAGCCCGUCUACAGCAACAAAAAA
rnacentral:lncRNA from 1 species